GUGGGAGCUCCUGCUGCGCUCCGAAGGCUUCGGGGAUAGCUGCCUGAAGCUUCCGGAGCGCAGCAGGAGUUCCCGC